UCAUAUGAAAGAAAAUAAGUUGAUAAUAUAAUUAUUUGAUAAUUUUCCAGGUAAUUUGAAAAAUUCAUUCAACAGAUAAAAUUGUUUAUUGCUUGGUAAUCUUUAAAAAUAUUUAUAUAUUUACAUCACUGAUUAGACAGCUGAGCACGUACCAGACAGUGACUGGCCCGAUCACCUGGAGAAAGCAGACGACAAUAUCAGAUGUGCCCAGUACCUACUUGAGUGAGGAUGUCAAAGUUCUAUAUGCACGUAAAGAAACGUUUA